rnacentral:rRNA from 1 species
CCUACGGGGGGCUGCAGUAGGGAAUCUUUCACAAUGGGCGAAAGCCUGAUGGAGCAACGCCGCGUGCAGGAUGAAGGCCUUCGGGUUGUAAACUGCUUUUAUAAGCGAGAAAUAUGAUGGUAACUUAUGAAUAAGGAUCGGCUAACUACGUGCCAGCAGCCGCGGUCAUACGUAGGAUCCGAGCAUUAGCCGGAGUGACUGUGUGUAAAGAGUUGCGUAGGUAGCAUAAUAAGUAGCUAGUGAAAUCUGGUGGCUCAACCAUUCAGACUAUUAGCUAAACUGUUAAGCUCGAGACCGUUAGGGGUAACUGGAAUUUCUAGUGUAGGAGUGAAAUCCGUAGAUAUUAGAAGGAACACCAAUAGCGUAGGCAGGUUGCUGGGACGGUUCUGACACUAAGGCACGAAAGCGUAGGGAGCAAACGGGAUUAGAUACCCCUGUAGUC